rnacentral:tRNA from 1 species
AGGAAUGUGGCUUAGUGGUAAAGUGCUUGCCUAGCACGCAUGAAGCCCUGGGUUCCAUUCCUC